rnacentral:rRNA from 1 species
GACAGAGGAUGCAAGCGUUAUCCGGAAUGAUUGGGCGUAAAGCGUCUGUAGGUGGCUUUUUAAGUCUGCCGUCAAAUCCCAGGGCUCAACCCUGGACAGGCGGUGGAAACUACCAAGCUGGAGUACGGUAGGGGCAGAGGGAACUUCCGGUGGAGCGGUGAAAUGCGUUGAGAUCGGAAGGAACGCCCGUGGCGAAGGCGGCUCUCUGGACAGGUACUGACGCUGAGACGCGAAAGCGUGGGUAGCAAACAGG